CCUACGGGUGGCAGCAGUGAGGAAUAUUGGUCAAUGGGAGGAAUCCUGAACCAGCCAUGCCGCGUGCAGGACGACGGCUCUACGAGUUGUAAACUGCUGUUGUACCGGGGUAAAAUGCGCUACGAGUAGGGUUUUGAAAGUACGGUACGAAUAAGGAUCGGCUAACUCCGUGCCAGCAGCCGCGGUAAUACGGAGGAUGCGAGCGUUAUCCGGAUUUAUUGGGUUUAAAGGGUGCGCAGGCGGCGUGUCAAGUCAGCGGUAAAAUGUCGGGGCUCACCCCCGGCCGGCCGUUGAAACUGGCGUGCUCGCGUUGGAGAGACGUAUGCGGCCUUCGUGGUGUAGCGGUGACAUGCAUAGAUCUCACGCAGAACCCCGUUUGCGAAGGCAGCCUACCGGCUCCACCCUGACGCUGCGGCACG
rnacentral:rRNA from 1 species